rnacentral:rRNA from 1 species
CACGUAGGGCGCAAGCGUUGUCCGGAAUUAUUGGGCGUAAAGAGCUCGUAGGCGGACUGUCACGUCUGCUGUGAAAAGCUAGGGCUUAACCCUGGCCUUGCAGUGGAUACGGGCAGACUAGAGGUAGGUAGGGGAGAAUGGAAUUCCCGGUGUAGCGGUGAAAUGCGCAGAUAUCGGGAGGAACACCGGUGGCGAAGGCGGCGGCCUGGGUUGACACUGACGCUGAGGCGCGAAAGCGUGGGGAGCAAACGGG